rnacentral:rRNA from 1 species
UACGAAGGGGGCUAGCGUUGUUCGGAAUCACUGGGCGUAAAGCGUGCGUAGGCGGCGUACCAAGCCAGGGGUGAAAUCCCGGAGCUCAACUCCGGAACUGCCUUUGGAACUGGUAUGCUGGAAUAUUGGAGGGGAUAGCGGAAUUCCUAAUGUAGAGGUGAAAUUCGUAGAUAUUAGGAGGAACACCGGUGGCGAAGGCGGCUAUCUGGACAAUUAUUGACGCUGAGGCACGAAAGCGUGGGGAUCAAACAGG